GGCGAGGUGCCAGAGUGGUUAAUGGGUAUGACUCGAACCGUUUCCUGGUCCUCUUGUUACAAGGGCGCCAGGCAUGUCAUCAUAUGGCUUCGGCCGCGCAGGUUCGAAUCCUGCCCUCGUCG
rfam:Verticillium dahliae VdLs.17 supercont1.16 genomic scaffold, whole genome shotgun sequence.